UGAGGAAUCUUGCGCAAUGGGGGAAACCCUGACGCAGCAACGCCGCGUGAGUGAGGAAGGUCUUCGGAUCGUAAAGCUCUGUCAAGUGGGAAGAAUCUUUCAUAAGCUAAUAUCUUGUGAAACUGACGGUACCACUGAAGGAAGCACCGGCUAACUCCGUGCCAGCAGCCGCGGUAAUACGGAGGGUGCCAGCGUUAUUCGGAAUUAUUGGGUGUAAAGCGCGUGUAGGCGACUUGGAAAGUCAGAUGUGAAAGCUCCGAGCUUAACUCGGAAAGUGCAUUUGAAACUUCCAGGCUUGAGUGCCGGAGAGGAAGGUGGAAUUCCCAGUGUAGAGGUGAAAUUCGUAGAUAUUGGGAGGAACACCGGUGGCGAAGGCGACCUUCUGGACGGACACUGACGCUGAGACGCGAAAGCGUGGGGAGCAAACA
rnacentral:rRNA from 1 species